UCCUCGGUAGUAUAGUGGUCAGUAUCCCCGCCUGUCACGCGGGAGACCGGGGUUCGAUUCCUCGCCGGGGAG
rnacentral:tRNA from 1 species